rnacentral:rRNA from 1 species
UACGGGGGGAGCAAGCGUUGUUCGGAUUUACUGGGCGUAAAGGGCGCGUAGGCGGCCAGCACAAGUCAGUUGUGAAAUCUCCGAGCUUAACUCGGAACGGUCAACUGAUACUGUGCGGCUAGAGUGCAGAAGGGGCAACUGGAAUUCUUGGUGUAGCGGUGAAAUGCGUAGAUAUCUGGAGGAACACCGGUGGCGAAGGCGGGUCUCUGGGCCGAUAUUGACGCUGAGGAGCGAAAGCGUGGGGAGCGAACAGG